AUUCUGCAGCGUGCACAUUUUAACAAAAUAUCUGUACAGACUCUUGUUUGCAACGAAAGCAGCAUACAUUUACAUUUUCGCAAAUCAACACAUUAGUGCCUUUUUACAUGUUAUCGAAUUUCAACUCGCUUAAAUACUUAAAAUCGUACAUGCCGAUAGUGUAACGUUGUGUGUUCGGGAAUUAGUGCUUGUGCCGUGUCUGAAAGACGAUAUUUACAGGAAAAACUCAUUACCUUGACCUUUUCAAAGACACACUGGCUCUCUUUGUUAAACAUACAUAUCCCAGACAUAGCAAGAUCUUCUUAAGUCAAUGCUGGCGUUGUAAUUUUAGUGGAAACACGGAUUUUAUACGAGUCGUGACUGCUAUAGUGAGUAAUAUGUGCGCGUUGGCUGCGUCAGGAGAUGCAGUCGCUGUGCGGUGCAGGCAGAAGGGGGAGAAUCGUGACUGACUGGAGACGUCCGCGAAUGAUGCGACCACCCAAUAAAAUCCUCAUAAUGGUGGCAUAUGCUUGAUUUUUCGUACACCUGUUACAUCUCAAUCCUCAUCUCUUUGCCUUUAGCCACCUCAACCUCCCCUUGCACCACGAAGGCACAAGAAGAAUAUCAGUGAUUAAGGGGAGGGAGGGGGAUCUUUGGCUUUGGGAUGCAUUUAGACGGGGGUGGGGGCUGUCCAGAUAUAGAUCGUGACCCUCCCACUUCGUAUAGUUUCUUGCUUAGAGUUCCAAGAAGGAAUGACCAGAGACCGUUGUGAAUUUUUUGACAAAUGAUCCAGCUGCAUAUGUCGCGUGGAUGCACGAAAAGAACUUCACGGGGAAGCGGCAAUGAACGACUCAAGCUGCCACCCAACUUUCCCCAUCAGUCCGCGCGCGCUGCUGCGAGCUCCGUCCAACUUCUUCAGUGUAACGUCAUUGAAAUCUGCUGAUGACAUAAGGUCCAGAAAAAGACGAAAUGUGACAAUGAACUAAGAACAUACCUCAGGGAAGGGAAAAUUAAGCAACGAAAAGUGGCUUUUAAGAGGGUUCACCUACAGACUGUGUCAAGCGUGAGAAAGGCCACAGUUAUGAGAAUACUGAGUUCCUAAGGUCAGGCAUCACAACCAGGACAUUGGAGACAGGAAAAAAAUGAAAAGGAUGAACAUCCAGGAAGCCUUGGGAUACUACCUUAGGAAUGUCUUGUGCACAAGAUUAACGUCAAACCAACGUCUGUUUGUGAGCUUUACACCUGUUAAUGGAAAUUCAGCAAGUUGAUUAUUUUAUAGGAGCAAGAUAACACCCUCAGGUAUUUAAAGUCUAUGUAUGUAAAGGUUUUUUGUAUAAACUGGACAGCUACGUUUCAGAUUAUUCAGAUAUCUGUCACGUGUACAUUUUGACAUAAAACGCAUGUGUUGUUUUGUUCUGUUGUAAUCUGCGAAUACAUUGACAUACACGUAGUCUGAUUUAAUACAGUUUUCUUUUGAACAUAUUGUGUACCAUUGCAAGAAAAAGUCUAUGUGUAUCUUAAAUUGCUUUUGUUGCGCGCGUGCUAAUAAAAUGCGCUCGCGUAACGUGAGAGCAAAACUCUGCUUGUGUAUAAUGUAAGAACAUGAGGGACAUAUAUAUGGAUACUUGUUUUCAGCAUGUGAGGAUUUAUAAUUGUGUGGGUGGUAGAUAUUUAAAAUAGUUUUCUGAUAGUUUGCUCGAAGAUGUUUAAAGGAAGUUUGAAGGUUUGAUGCAGUGUUGGUGCUGUUAGGGGUCCGCUGUCCACGUCUUGUCGUGCUGAAAUGUGCGAAACUGCUGACGUGACGACCUUAUUACUCAAAAUAAGCUUUUAACUAAAUGUUAUAUUUUAUUAAGCAGAUGUUUUUAUGCAUUUUGCCUCUGCAUAUGUAUAUUAAUGUGUAUAUUGUGUUGUGUACGUAUAUAGAAGUUUGAAUAAAAGUUGUAACUUUUUAGCAGUGGUCUCGACUAAAAUAAGACUGAGUGAUAACGUUGAGACCCCUUUGUUUUAAACUCUUAUCUGAGCAGUACAGGGACAAGGGAUAACAAAAUUGAAUAAAACAAAGAUCAGUGGCGUCGAGCUAGUUUUAGAAAUCGUCUGUGGUACGUAGGUUAGUGUGUGUACAAGACGAACACAGGAAUAUAAAUGAAAACGUGUGUUUGUUAAAAGAGUGACCGAGAGGUUGCGUGUGUAUGCGUCAGUGAGGAUGUGUUUGAAAAUUGUGAUUAGACAGUAUGCAUUAGUUUACUAGUACACGGACUGUUAAAAUAAAAUCUAAUCGAUAUUUUACGUCAGUCAUCAAAGUGUUACAAUAGCUAAAUGUAUACUGUGGUUUAAACAUUGACCUUAUACUGUGUAUCUUUAUUUGUGCUCUGCAUAUGUUUUUAAUGCUGUACUAUUGCUUUACCUUUUUAUGAUUAUUUUAAUUUAUAUGAAUAGUCUGUAGUGAACUGUAUAAAAGUAAGCGAGGCUGCUGUUUAAAGCAUGCAAUGUCGAAGACGUCGUAGCUGUAACUCUCGUGAGUGCAGCUGUUUUAUGUAUUUCUGGGUGUUUUUCUGAGUUGUGCAAUGCAAGGACACUGAGGAAAAAUAUAGUAAAUGAACUGUUUAAUUCUGACUAAUUGUUCUGUUAUUUCACUACAAGAAACAAAUGUUUUUGUGAUGUAGCAAAAUACGAACGCUCGUGUAUGCUUGACAAACAUAUACGACUGAAAUGAAUUGCCCAUUUUGCAGUCACGCUGCUGUCUUUGUUUCCUGACCCGUCAAAUAAAAAGUCUGU